UGGGGAAUCUUCCGCAAUGGGCGAAAGCCUGACGGAGUAAUACCGCGUGAGGGAGGAAUGCCUUUGGGUUGUAAACCUCUUUUCUCAGGGAAGAAGAUCUGACGGUACCUGAGGAAUAAGUAUCGGCUAACUCCGUGCCAGCAGCCGCGGUAAUACGGAGGAUGCAAGCGUUAUCCGGAAUCAUUGGGCGUAAAGCGUCCGCAGGUGGUUUCCAAAGUCUGCUGUUAAAGACUGGAGCUCAACUCCGGAACGGCGGUGGAAACUUGGAAACUAGAGUUCGGUAGGGGCAGCAGGAAUUCCCAGUGUAGCGGUGAAAUGCGUAGAUAUUGGGAAGAACAUCGGUGGCGAAGGCGUGCUACUGGACCGUAACUGACACUCAGGGACGAAAGCUAGGGGAGCGAAAGGGAUUAGAUACCCCUGUAGUCCUAGCUGUAAACGAUGGAAACUAGGUGUGGCU
rnacentral:rRNA from 1 species